rnacentral:rRNA from 1 species
CGGACGGGUGAGUAACGCGUGGGAACGUGCCCUUUGCUACGGAAUAGUCCCGGGAAACUGGGUUUAAUACCGUAUGUGCCCUUCGGGGGAAAGAUUUAUCGGCAAAGGAUCGGCCCGCGUUGGAUUAGGUAGUUGGUGGGGUAAUGGCCUACCAAGCCGACGAUCCAUAGCUGGUUUGAGAGGAUGAUCAGCCACACUGGGACUGAGACACGGCCCAGACUCCUACGGGAGGCAGCAGUGGGGAAUCUUAGACAAUGGGGGCAACCCUGAUCUAGCCAUGCCGCGUGAGUGAUGAAGGCCUUAGGGUUGUAAAGCUCUUUCAGCUGGGAAGAUAAUGACGGUACCAGCAGAAGAAGCCCCGGCUAACUCCGUGCCAGCAGCCGCGGUAAUACGGAGGGGGCUAGCGUUGUUCGGAAUUACUGGGCGUAAAGCGCACGUAGGCGGACUGGAAAGUUGGGGGUGAAAUCCCGGGGCUCAACCUCGGAACUGCCUUCAAAACUAUCAGUCUGGAGUUCGAGAGAGGUGAGUGGAAUACCGAGUGUAGAGGUGAAAUUCGUAGAUAUUCGGUGGAACACCAGUGGCGAAGGCGGCUCACUGGC